rnacentral:rRNA from 1 species
UACGUAGGGGGCAAGCGUUGUCCGGAAUCAUUGGGCGUAAAGCGCGUGUAGGCGGCCCGGUAAGUCCGCUGUGAAAGUCCAGGGCUCAACCCUGGGAUGCCGGUGGAUACUGUCGGGCUCGAGUCCGGAAGAGGUGAGUGGAAUUCCUGGUGUAGCGGUGAAAUGCGCAGAUAUCAGGAGGAACACCAAUGGCGAAGGCAGCUCGCUGGGACGUGACUGACGCUGAGACGCGAAAGCGUGGGGAGCAAACAGG